CCUACGGGAGGCAGCAGUAGGGAAUCUUCCACAAUGGGCGAAAGCCUGAUGGAGCAACGCCGCGUGGGUGAAGAAGGUCUUCGGAUCGUAAAACCCUGUUGUUAGAGAAGAAAGUGCGUGAGAGUAACUGUUCACGUUUCGACGGUAUCUAACCAGAAAGCCACGGCUAACUACGUGCCAGCAGCCGCGGUAAUACGUAGGUGGCAAGCGUUAUCCGGAUUUAUUGGGCGUAAAGGGAACGCAGGCGGUCUUUUAAGUCUGAUGUGAAAGCCUUCGGCUUAACCGGAGUAGUGCAUUGGAAACUGGGCGACUGGAGUGCAGAAGAGGAGAGUGGAACUCCAUGGGUAGCGGUGAAAUGCGUAGAUAUAUGGAAGAACACCAGUGGCGAAAGCGGCUCUCUGGUCUGUAACUGACGCUGAGGUUCGAAAGCGUGGGUAGCAAACAGGAUUAGAUACCCCAGUAGUC
rnacentral:rRNA from 1 species